GGUAGUGACUGGUCCACGUCGGCCUCCGCCCCAUCCCCACGUGGUGUGGGCCUCUGGCUAGUCACUGACCCCAGAAAUCUAGCACCGCUCAAGGCCGGUUUCCACUUCUCUGCCUUACGCCUGGCCUGCCCGAAAGAGGCCCAGAGGCUGGGCAGGCACAUCCAGCUGACCUGCAGGAAGGAGAGGUCUGAAAGGCUUGUUCACAUCGUGUUCAGCUCCCAAGGAUGUUUGGAGCCCACAAACCCUCCUGGACUGGCCAUCAUUGCCCCAAAGGAACUGGAGCAGCCUGACAGAUGCUAAAUGCUGGUUCCCUCCCCCGCCUCCAGCCCCAAGGGGCCAGGAAGGAACACUGGGUUACCUAAUCCAAGGAGCCUUCCAGCAAUUAUUUCAUGAGAAAGUCAAAAGCCAAAAGGCGUGCAUGCUGCAUGUAUGUGUGAGCAUGUGUGUGCGUUCCAAGUAGCCAUCUGGACGGGGUAAGCCAAACUGCUGCCCGAAUGCUUUCUCCAGGUGCAAUCUUUAGUAGCAGCCUCCAGAGACCCUGCGGCUGCUCUCGCCGCAGACAGCACUCAUAGCCCCUCCAGGUCUCAGCACAAGAACCUGGAGUUCAAAAACCCUGGUCUCAGCCACAGAAGCCCAGUCCCUUCCCUUGUAAGAUCCAAGGAAGGACCGUGUGGAGAAGCCUUGAGAGGGACUGGACAGGUUGGUGUCCAGCCUUCUCUCUAUCCUCCAGGAGAAGGCAGGCUGGCUGGGCCAUGGAUGGGAAGCCUGGCAGGGAGGAGGAGGUGACAGAUUGUAGAGCCCGGCUGCCUGGGAUCCGUCUACACUCUCCAACCUCAGGUUGCUGGAUUCAGGAGCCAAGAAGAGCGAUAAAGAGGGAGGUAGAAAACUUGGUGAAGGCUGUGCAGGAGUGGGGGCCCCAUGCUGGGCACGUCUUGGAGCCUCCAAAUCUUAUCUUCAGCUGGGUCCCAGGGCAGUGCCCAGGAGAGGGACGCAUGGGUCUCUGCCCUAGUCCCACAGCUCUGCCUGCCUGAAGCGGAGCCACAGGGGCUAAUCCUGGGACCCUCCUGCCCUCUGGAUAACUUCAACUCCGCUCCACCAAACCCUCCUUUAAACUCCGUCCCUCCGUCCCAGCAGACAUUCUGCCAGACACACGUGUACCUUUCAAUGUUCAUCUCUUUCCCAUGUAUCUGAGGAUGUGUCUGGGUAUGCGUGGUGCUUGCAUGUGCAUGUGUGAGUAUGUCUGGGUAGAGGAAAGCGCUGGGAGUUCAGGCAUCUAUACUCCUUACUGGCGCGGAUAGGUGGUGUGUGGGGUAUGUGCACAUUUGUAAGCACCCAUGUUUACAGGAGGGUUUUCAAUGCUCUUGCUUGUAGGUGGGGAAUGUGUUUAUAUGCACACAUACAAAUGUAUGCCUCCAGUACAUGUGUCAAUGUAGACAUCAGGAUUUGUCCUAUGCAGCCUUUACUGUCCACGUGCUUGUACAUGUGUCACAUGUGUACACAUGCUUCCAUAUAUUAAAUGUUUGCAUGUAUAAUGUUGUGUGAGCAUGAGUUUGAACAUGUAUAUCACAUGCCCCAGUUCUGGCUCACUCUAAUCAGAAGUAGGUCUCUAGAAGAUGCAGAUCCUGGCUGUUGUGGGGUCUGCUAAAAUUCUAAGCAUAUGGCCGAACAUGGUGGCUCAUGC